AUCUUCGUGGUGUAGUGGUCAGCACACUCGGCGCGUAUUCGAGAGGUCCGUGGUUCGAUUCCUGGCGAGGGCA
rnacentral:tRNA from 1 species